GCAUGGCCAGGGAGACUGUCAUGGAGAGCGCCUGCACUUCUGAAUUUGCAACCUCCACAUCACUACGGAUACUUGAACUGAGAUUUGAAACAGGGUGCGCUAAAUAUGUGCCUUUAUGUCAGCAGGGUAGCCCCCAGUCGCAAACAACACUGCUCAUCUCCAUGGUGACGAGAUCAUUGUUAAGGCGGCAACCACUUGUCCACGGGAAAGACGCUGCAGUUGGGAGAACCCUUAAUGGGAGGCGCGCUCUCCCACACCCAACCUGUAGACAUUCUUGUCAGAUUAUUUCAGUAACGCACAUUUCGGCCCUUUAAAAAAAAAAUGAAGGGGGUGGUAGUAGCUAAAAAAAAACGCAUCAAAGAGGGCGGAGGACGACGAACUAGGAAGCUCUGGAGCUAGACAACUACAAGGACGAAGUUCGAAGGGAAAGUCUGAGCUUUGCAUCACGCUGAGAAGCAAGAUGACGGGCAUACACGAGGGCAUGGCAGACAAAGGGGUGAGGGGCGGGGAGAAAGCUGCAUUAGGAAUGGCUGGGUGAUACUACACGUUGCUCCGCUGUUGCCCUGAGAAGCCCUAGUUCUGUGGUGGUGGUGCUGGAGGAGGAGGCGGCGCUAAGAGAUACCCUGCCCCCAAAGAGCAUUGUUCCCUCUCUCUACGAGGGGGCGGGAGGACGCCUAGGAGCGAGCGGGCGGCCUUGGCGGGGGGGGGGGCGCACGCAGAUGUUCCUGGGAGCCGAACAGCUGCUCGUUUGCUCACUCGCACGCGCUUUAUACCGACCUGCCCAGGGAACAAGGCUCCUUCGACACCGGGAGCGACACGUGGACUACAGCGUGAGCAGCAGAAGCUGCUCCUCUGCGCUUCCUGAAGGGCGGAGAAGGGGCGGGAAGGAGGAGGGUCUGACCUGUUCCUCCCUCCCGCUCCGCUUUCUGCUGUUUAACGUACUUGUUGCUUUUGCUCUCCUACUAAAUGGACCCAGAGGGGCUGUCUUUAGCACCAACCAGUUACCAGUAUAGAGCCUCUUAUAUGCCCUGAAGCUUGACUUGAAAUGGCCAUGGACUCUGCUUUUCGCACUUAGGUCAUGGUCAUUUGACCCAGUGUUUACAUUUGUCGUGUCAGCACACGCGUGCACACUUGCUCCCUGAGGAUAACUUUUCGUGUAUCUACUGAAAUGCGCUAUAGUCCACCACGAAACCUAAAGCCUCAAUAAAUCUAUGCUAUUUAAGGUGCCACACGUCGUGACGAGAUGGGUAUUUAUUUCCCAUAGGGCUCUUGUAACUACUACAGUUUAUGAUAUGCAGGAACUCAACAGGUGGAGAUAGAGAGAGGAGGUGGAGAGAAUCCUUCCCAUUGUACGGACUGAGGGCGGAGACUCCUGGGAGUGUUUACCUGUUCCUCAAAUGUGAUCACAGUACCACAUUAAAGCCGGAAGGGGAAGUGUAGCUAUAAAAAUUUCAGCAUGUCAAAAAUGCAACCAUAGAGUUUAUUUGUUGACACAGAUAUCGACAAAUCCAAGUACCUGACAGGUUUCCAGACCAGUUGCAAUUUGCUGGUGAGGCUAGGAAAACUGUAAACUGGAAUGUGCUGGGAUGCUACUGAACUUGCAAAAUCUGCUGUUUUCGUUCUUCCACUGUGGUGAGAUAAUUAACAGCUGCAUAUUCAAUGACAGAUAGGAAGACAAAGAGAAAACUGAUCCAUAAGUAUACAUCCACGGCUUUUAUCUCCCCCAGGUUGAAAAGCAGUUGAACUCCUUGGAUUAACUGAAUUAGACACAUAGCUCUCAAUCUUGCCUAUACAGGUCUCAAGGCACCUGGGCUGAGAAGACAAAGAAUGAUUCCAACAGUGGUCAAGACAGGCCUCAGAGGUCUAAAGGAACGCCACCUAUAACAGGGCACAGGUGUACCUGUACUGCUAUAGAAUGCUAGUCCACUAGAAGCACUGAAUUCUUCAAUGAAGAACUGGGAAAGGGAAAUGUGCUCAUCUGUGCUGAGUGAUUCAUUGCCAUGCUUCCAAUACAGCAUUAAGUCUUCUUCAUUGUAGGCAUCUGUGA